rfam:Salegentibacter echinorum strain DSM 24579 genome assembly, contig: Ga0131147_101
UAACCUCUGGCGAUACCCGUGAAUGUUG